rnacentral:rRNA from 1 species
AUACGUAGGUGACAAGCGUUAUCCGGAUUUACUGGGCGUAAAGGGCGUGUAGGCGGUCUUGCAAGUCAGAAGUGAAAUUCCUGAGCUCAACUCGGGCGCUGCUUCUGAAACUGCAGGACUUGAGUGCUGGAGGGGAUAGCGGAAUUCCUAGUGGAGCGGUAAAAUGCGCAGAUAUUAGGAAGAACACCGGUGGCGAAGGCGGCUAUCUGGACAGUAACUGACGCUGAGGCGCGAAAGCGUGGGGAGCAAACAGGAUUAGAUACCCUGGUAGUCCACGCCGUAAACGGUGGGCGCUAGGUGUAGGGGUCUUCCACGACUUCUGUGCCGUAGCUAACGCAUUAAGCGCCCCACCUGGGGAGUACGGUCGCAAGGCUGAAACUCAAAUGAAUUGGCGGGG